CCACGCACUGCGGGAGGUGCUGCGCGAGGGCUUCGAGUCCCCGUACGCCCGCUGGUUCGACAUCGACUGGGCGGCC
rnacentral:tRNA from 1 species